UACGUAGGGAGCAAGCGUUGUCCGGAAUCAUUGGGCGUAAAGAGCGUGUAGGCGGCCAGGUAGGUCUGGUGUGAAAACUCGAGGCUUAACCUCGAGAUGUCAUCGGAAACCAUCUGGCUAGAGUCCGGAAGAGGAGAGUGGAAUUCCUGGUGUAGCGGUGAAAUGCGCAGAUAUCGUAAGGAAGACCAGUGGCGAAGGCGGGUCUCUGGACAGUUCCUGACGCUGAGGCACGAAGGCCAGGGGAGCAAACGGG
rnacentral:rRNA from 1 species